GGUUUGUUAUGUAAAUUAAAUUUAUGUUAAUUGGUUUUAGUCAUUGGAAAUAAUGACCUAAAAUAAGUUACGGAUCGAUGAAUUGUUUUUUGUUAGGACUGCUAUAUGAGGUCGAAGAAAACAAAGUUAAUGAAGGAAACGAUCUGCACACAAAAGUUCGUUGAAACAGAUAAGAAUUUUCGCACAGAAACUUUCCUACCGGAAAAUAAAUGCAGCGCGAUUUGAAUCCUUGUGGGACAGGAAAUGCAAUUUUCCUCCCGACCGACAGUUCGUACACCUGUUAAAACAAACGCCUCAUGAAUAUGUAUCUUUUUCGGUCAUUCACAAGUUGUUUCAAAACUGAAAACAUAAUCGCAUGCAAUUGGAACGAUUUAUCCUUGUUAAAGAUAAUUGUUGAAGUCGAUUUAACAAAAAAGGUCGAUUUUUUUGUGUAGUAAGAAUCUUCUUCCAUAAAUAAAGUUUGUGUAAGUAAAGAACAGAACUCAGAUGGCUGGAAGUGCACUUUUAAACAUCCGGCGUAACCCAACACCUUAUCUCGUUGUACUAAGGAAGGAGGGACAGACAGGUGCAUCGCCCCGACCAUCGUCAUCGGACGAGAAAAAAAAACUAUGGAUGAAACAAGAGGGUCCCCCAAAAAAGAGCGGGCUCAGCAUCCAUCCCUCCACGUGUCCCUAACGUCUGGAAACAGCCCGUGCCACAAACGAAAGAUUUAUGAUUUUAUUCCAAACCCAUGUGCACACCAGAGAAAAUUUCACUUUUUGCACUAUUCUAAAUUAACAUUUAACAUUCAUUAUCUUUUUUGUUAACAUAUACAUCAAUUUCCUAUUUAAGACUCUAGUUAAAAACUCAUAAAAAUCAUCUUUUAUCGUUCGGAUGUAACGGUGUAACCUGAUAUUGUAACCCAAUCGCCUACGCACAGUUUCAAACUUGGGCUGUUUCCUGCUAACAGGGACCCGAAAGCAGGAAAUCGACUACGUCUUCCUGUCUUGAAAAAUAAAGUAAACACGUCUACGUGUACACACAUCCAUAAUGAUUAACGGUGUCGAUGGCUUCGAAACGAUGAGACAUUUUUAGAUUUACGAACAAAGAGACCCGACGCAGCGCAACGCAACACUUUUCGACGUGUUUGUGCGUGUCGAAACCUGCGAGAUAACCGCGUUCGUGUACAUUUGUUAGUCACUCGCGGUUUGAGUAACAAAAACUUUUUUAUCGAAUCGAUUACACGCAUUCCGCGCCCAGUACAAAAAGCGCCGUUUUACAGGGGACGAACGACAUGUGGUAAGCGUUGCUGUAAUAAACCGCGUGUUGUGUACUGUGUGUGGGAAACAACGACGUCCUUCGCAAGGAUAUAAAAUGUUGGUUAUGCUGAGAAUGGUGAGAAAUUAAGAAGCUGAGUUCCCGCCAAAAAUCCAAUGAUCAUCUGGCGCAAAUUCGGAUACACCUCAGAGCGUCGUAGUCGGCGGAGCAGCUGCUGUUAAAUUCUUGAGUCGUCCAAUCGAAUGGAACAUCUGUUUCUGGUAGAGGCCGAAAAGGUUACCUUGUGAAUUUUUAACCAGGAUGUACACACCUUUAAGGGUGCGGAUACUUUUGAGUCCAUUUUCGAGAGAAUAAACAGGAUGUCCUUCCUUUAAAGCAUCACACCGUAUCAUUAUCUUCGACCAAUAAGUAACUCAUCAAAAAAAGAAUUAAAACAUUCACUUUGAUUAUAUUUAUGUGAUAUAUGCAAAGUGAUUUAUUUAAACGACUCUCUACAGUUAAAGAAAAUUAAUUAACCUUGACAAUCUGAGAAUUCUUAACCAGGUGCAUUCCCAUCGUAAGCAAAAAUUUCUGCACAACGAGAUUUGCUUUCUGCGUACGGAACAAACACCGGAAGCCCAUCGCAAUUAAGGCCUCUAAUAAUAACGGCGACGGCGGAACAAUGUGGUGGGGCGACUGAAACAGUUCAGUGUAUAAACCAUUUUGGAUCUCAUUCAAUUGUUCGUUUCGCGUGUUUCCGAACCACUUUUUGUUUAAAUUUGAAAAGGAUGUUCUGCUCCAACAGACUUUGAUGGAUAACACCAACGAAACCAUGAUAAUCAUUGAGGAUGGUAAAAAUGUAGGAAGGUAGGAAGGCAGGAAGAUAAAAAUGCCGGCUCCUAACGAAUCGGUCCCACAAAAACCGGCAGUAUGCAGAAGACUCUUUCAAAACGACGAAAACGAUGAAAAUGACGAAAUUCCCAUUGAAUAUCUUCCAACGAGGAGUGAAGAUGCUAAAGAAAAAUGGAAUUUUGAUUUUGAAAACGAUCGGCCUUUAGAGGGCGAUUGGGAAUGGACCCCAGUCAAUAAUUCCGAAGGAGCUAGAAAUCAAACGAACGGAAAUGGAAAAGAAAAUGAUGUGCAAUAAUUUUUUAUUUAUUUAUUUAUGGAUGUUUUUUUUUUCUUUUUAAAUUAACCUAGUCUAUGAGUGAUCAAAAAAUCCUAUACUAAUGAUAAUUUAUUUUUAUUAAAUCGUACUUAUAUACGAGUAUAUUUAUUUA